GAUUGACGCUUGGCAGGAUAGCACGUAGAAUUGGAGAAGGGAUGUUUUAUAUAUGGGUGGGGAUUGCACAACCUGUCAACCUUAAACAAUCAAAGCAGACCUCAAAAUGUUCUCCAAAAAGAGCGAAGCCGAUUCCCAAAAAGACCACGCUUGCUUCCAAGAUUAUCGAUAGCGAUGUCGGGCAGUAACUUCGUGGGAGGCCUACUCUCUUGGAUUAAAAUAUUGUUUUCCUCCUUCCUCUCUUUGGAAGGAAGUGGAGUUGAAAAGGAAAACUCUCUCAACCUUGCUGGUUCUUCUCUUUUUGCUUCUUCUUCGGGCUAAGAACAAGCUGUCCGUGUUGUGCUUCCAUCAAAGGCUGUCAAGCCUGCUACUGUUUUUCGCAUGGAAAUCUAAGAUGUAUCCUCUUCCCUUUCAUCUUGCUGCUACUAAGGCUUCAACAAAGAAAUCAUUCGAUCCUCUCUUGAUCAUCCCUCUAGCUAUUAUGGUUGUUGAAGAUGAUGAUGGUCCUCAAAUUCCUCUACUCCUUGCUAAUGAAUCUGUUGUUGAUGCUGCCGAAGUUGAUCCUGCCUUAGAUUUGAUCCUAUCGGAGUCCUUUGAGGAGGUUCCCCUAGAUGUCCUACUGCAGGAAGAGGUUAUCCCUUCACGUAUUUCUGCACCGGUGAUUGAGGAGAUGCCUUGAAUGAGCCAUCAUUAGUAGGCAAAAUGAUGGAUGAUAUGGGUAUGGAUGAUGUUCUUCUGAGUAUGGUGAUGUUGGAAAUCAGGGAGCGUAGGAGGACUAGACUGGUUGUUGAAUAAGAUAUGGUAAGAGGGAAGAAAACUAGGAAGGUCUCUUUAGUGGAGUCAGGUUCACUUGACAAGACUCCUGCUAAAGGGCCUGCCGCUGGCAAAAAGAGCAAGACCCUUAUGAAGGGAGUUCGUUCAAAAAGAGCAAGACUGUUAUGAAGGGAGUUCGCUCUUCAGUGCGACUACAAGCUCGUGGUAUUCCUAAAGGUGGUUCAUUAGUGACUGCAAUUGCCUUCUGCGACCCGACAAUGGUGGAUGUGGACUCUUCCUCGAUUUCUUCCUCCGGAGAUGAUGAGCUCGAUGAGGCACUUAUGCUAGAGGAGAUGUACUUCGGUUAUGGUCCUGAUGGACCAGAUUCCUCCUCUAACCCCUCUCUUCCUAUUUUUUAAUGAAUUUUUUAUCAUGAAAUAUUCGGGGCAUAGGCCAUCCUAGUAGGAAAAAUGAUGUUAUAUUGCUGGUCUCUCUAAGUAUAUGCCAGUUGAUUUGAUUUUACAAGAAACAAAGCUCUCCAGUCCCAAUGCGUCUGGGGCUCGAGAAAUUUGGGGAACUAUUGUUGUUAGUUUUUGUGGUAUUGAUGCUAAUUGUG